UUGCAAAGAUUGAUGACAGACUGGUUC
rnacentral:piRNA from 1 species